rnacentral:rRNA from 3 species
CGUAUCACCCAAGACAACUUUACGGAGUUGACGAUUGACGGAGCGAAGCGACGUCAAAGCGUUCAUUAAAGUCGAGUUGGCUUAGGGAUACGUUCGUUGGGUAGGGGAGCGUUCUGUAAGCCUGUGAAGGUGUGUCGUGAGGCAUGCUGGAGGUAUCAGAAGUGCGAAUGCUGACAUAAGUAACGAUAAAGCGGGUGAAAAGCCCGCUCGCCGGAAGACCAAGGGUUCCUGUCCAACGUUAAUCGGGGCAGGGUGAGUCGACCCCUAAGGCGAGGCCGAAAGGCGUAGUCGAUGGGAAACGGGUUAAUAUUCCCGUACUUGGUGUUACUGCGAAGGGGGGACGGAGAAGGCUAUGUUGGCCGGGCGACGGUUGUCCCGGUUUAAGCGUGUAGGUGUGUGUUCCAGGUAAAUCCGGUUCACUUUAACACUGAGGCGUGACGACGAGGCACUACGGUGCUGAAGCAACAAAUGCCCUGCUUCCAGGAAAAGCCUCUAAGCAUCAGGUAACACGAAAUCGUACCCCAAACCGACACAGGUGGUCAGGUAGAGAAUACCAAGGCGCUUGAGAGAACUCGGGUGAAGGAACUAGGCAAAAUGGUGCCGUAACUUCGGGAGAAGGCACGCUGACACGUAGGUGAAGUGAUUUACUCAUGGAGCUGAAGUCAGUCGAAGAUACCAGCUGGCUGCAACUGUUUAUUAAAAACACAGCACUGUGCAAACACGAAAGUGGACGUAUACGGUGUGACGCCUGCCCGGUGCCGGAAGGUUAAUUGAUGGGGUCAGCG